UUGGGACUUUUAUAGUUAGAAUGGUGGGUUCUUCCUCUUUCCAAUGUAGGUGUAUGCCCCCCACCUGUUUACACGAAAUGAUUUUUAGUUUCAAUUUCAUUCACCACGCUAGUCUAGACACCGAUAACCUCUGUGUCAUCCUCAGGGAGGAAGGCAUUGAUAUCUGCUUCAUCCAAUAACCCUGGGUUCGGCAGUCUAAGAUCAUGGGCCUCCAGAGCAAACUCUACGAUAUUUUCUAUGUCCAGUCGAAAGCUCACCAGACGUGGUUUAUGCAUACAUGCAAACAAAUGCAUUAAGAAUUGACGGCAACCUCUAGCUUACUACUCCUGCAU